GAUCCUGGCUCAGAACGAACGCUGGCGGCAGGCUUAACACAUGCAAGUCGAGCGCCCCUCCUUCAAGCCAGCUUGAAGGAAACUUCAAAGCUUCAAGCAAGCAGAGCUUGCUUGAUGGAGGGGAGCGGCAGACGGGUGAGUAACGCGUGGGAAUCUACCCAUCCCYACGGAACAACUCCGGGAAACUGGAGCUAAUACCGUAUACGCCCUUCGGGGGAAAGAUUUAUCGGGGAUGGAUGAGCCCGCGUUGGAUUAGGUAGUUGGUGGGGUAAUGCCUACCAAGGCGACGAUCCAUAGCUGGUCUGAGAGAUGAUCAGCCACACUGGGACUGAGACACGGCCCAGACUCCUACGGGAGGCAGCAGUGGGGAAUAUUGGACAAUGGGCGCAAGCCUGAUCCAGCCAUGCCGCGUGAGUGAUGAAGGCCCUAGGGUUGUAAAGCUCUUUUACCCGGGAAGAUAAUGACUGUACCGGGAGAAUAAGCCCCGGCUAACUCCGUGCCAGCAGCCGCGGUAUACGGAGGGGGCUAGCGUUGUUCGGAAUUACUGGGCGUAAAGCGCACGUAGGCGGCUUUGUAAAUUAGAGGUGAAAGCCUGGAGCUCAACUCCAGAAUUGCCUUUAAGACUSCAUCGCUUGAACGUCGGAGAGGUGAGUGGAAUYCCGAGUGUAGAGGUGAAAUUCGUAGAUAUYCGGAAGAACACCAGUGGCGAAGGCGGCUCACUGCGCACGACUGUUGACGCUGAGGUGCGCAAAGCGUGGDGAGCAAACAGGAUUAGAUACCCUGGUAGUC
rnacentral:rRNA from 1 species